rnacentral:misc_RNA from 1 species
GAUGAAGAACGCAGUGAAAUGCGAUAAGUAAUGCGAAUUGCAGAAUCCGUGAGUCAUCGAAUCUUUGAACGCACAUUGCGCCCCUUGGUUAUUCCGAAGGGCAUGCCUGUUCGAGCGUCAUUAUCACCCCUCAAGCCCUGGCUUGGUGUUGGACUUUAGUUAUGGCUUUGCCUAUCAACUGGUCUCAAAGAUAGUGACGGUGCCCCAGAGGGAACCGGGUACGAGGAGCUUUUUACUAAGCAUGUAUCUGGGACGACUCUGAUGGGCGACGGUCUUGUUAUACUUUUUACCUAAGUGUUGACCUCGGAUCAGGUAGGAAUACCCGCUGAACUUAAGCAUAUCAAUAAGCGGAGGA